rnacentral:rRNA from 1 species
UACGGGGGGGGUAAGCGUUGUUCGGAAUUACUGGGCGUAAAGGGCUCGUAGGCGGCCAACUAAGUCAGACGUGAAAUCCCUCAGCUUAACUGGGGAACUGCGUCUGAUACUGGAUGGCUUGGAUUCGGGAGAGGAAUGCGGAAUUCCAGGUGUAGCGGUGAAAUGCGUAGAUAUCUGGAGGAACACCGGUGGCGAAGGCGGCGUUCUGGACUGUAUCUGACACUGAAGAACGAAAGCCAGGGGAGCAAACGGG